GAAGAAGAUGAGCAGCCUGUGUAUGAGGAGGAAGAAGAUCAGGCAGUUUUUGAGGACGAAGAAGAACUACGACGGCUCGAGGAGCCAGAGGAACAGCAAAGUGAGGUAGCUGCCUGUUUCCUGUGUCUUUGGUUUUUGCCCUUUCAACGAGUCAAAACGUUCCCUUCUCUCCAUGCAGCAUGAAUUUCACCCACCCCUUCCAACCCCCCGUAGUAAUUUGUAGGUGUGGCGCAUGACUUCCCCUGACCUGGUAUAUCUGUGUGUCUUCCUACAUGUUCCUGCAGCAUCUACUAGAUGUACUCAAAAUCCAGUUAUAUCAGGUGUUCAGUUCUCCUUGUUCAUAGUGACAUGCAGCAACAGCAAUCUAAAACAAGGAUAGUGUUAUUUAUUUCCAUUUUGGAGUGUAAACUUGGAACAUCUUAAAACUUAUAUUCCACACUCCCCCCUUUUGUAGGAAGAAGAAGAA